AACAUAUUAGGACCUAAUUAACACACAGUAAUGUCUGUAAACAUUAUAUAAGAACUUAAGGUCUUAUUAACACAUAAUGCCAAUACACCUUAUUCAAGAACAUAUUAAGGCCUUAUUAACACAUAAUAUCAACAAACAUAUAUAAACA